rnacentral:rRNA from 1 species
UGAGGAAUAUUGGUCAAUGGGCGCAAGCCUGAACCAGCCAUGCCGCGUGCAGGAUGAAGCAUCUAUGGUGUGUAAACUGCUUUUGUACGGGAAGAAACCACCCCUCGUGAGGGGUAUUGACGGUACCGUAAGAAUAAGGAUCGGCUAACUCCGUGCCAGCAGCCGCGGUAAUACGGAGGAUCCAAGCGUUAUCCGGAAUCAUUGGGUUUAAAGGGUCCGUAGGCGGGUCUGUAAGUCAGUGGUGAAAUCUCCCCGCUCAACGGGGAAACUGCCAUUGAUACUGCAGGUCUUGAAUUAUUGGGAAGUAACUAGAAUAUGUAGUGUAGCGGUGAAAUGCUUAGAGAUUACAUGGAAUACCGAUUGCGAAGGCAAUCCCCUGGACCUGUACUGACGCUCAUGCACGAAAGCGUGGGGAGCAAACA